UACGGAGGGUGCAAACGUUGCUUGGAAUCAUUGAGCGUAAAGCGCACGUAGGCGGUUUGUUAAGUCGGGUGUGAAAGCCCUGGGCUCAACCCAGGAAGUGCACUCGAAACUGGCAGGCUUGAAUAUGGAAGAGGGUCGCGGAAUUCCCGGUGUAGAGGUGAAAUUCGUAGAUAUCUGAAGGAACAUCAGUGGCGAAAGCGACUUCCUGGACCAAUACUGACGCUCAUGUGCGAAAGCGUGGGGAGCAAACAGG
rnacentral:rRNA from 1 species